rnacentral:lncRNA from 1 species
GGUUUGAUGGGCCAGGCACGAGGACUGUGAGGAACAUGAAUUGUUCUUUUCAUGCACAACCACGGAGGCAGGUUAUACGGCGUGACAAUAACUGGCCAAGAAGAAUAUUGACGCCCUGAUUGUGCAAAUGGGGCAAAACCAUCUGUAGAGAGGCCCAAUCUCACAUUUCUGAUCUCCUCGGCGAAUCCAGGAAAGACUGAAUUCAAAUGUUUCCAUGCCGGAGAGUCGACCGGGUGGCGC